UCGUACGUUUUAAAUUUUCUCGAUCAAACUGUUUGCAAAACCCUAGGGUUUCCCCAAAUUUAUCUCUAAUUGCUUUCCUUUUUUUUUUUUUUCAAAUUUCAAAAUCCUGUGGAAGAAAUUAUUGGCAAGGAGAAAAUGCCGGUUUUUAGGUGGUUGGCUGAUUACCUGUUGAAUUUUGAUUGCAGGUAAUGGCUUGAAGUGUACCUGUAUUCAUGGUUCUCUUACUCUUUGUAUCGAUCCGUGAAGCUGUUUCGAUGCUUUGAACCGAUCUCCGGUUCUCAAUCGAUCUGCUGCUCUCGAGCUCUUCAAUCCCGUUAAUGGAUCCUUCUCUCACUCAUCGUAUCGAUCAGUGAAGCUGCUUCGAUGCUUUGAACCGAUCUCCAAUUCUCAUUGAUAUGCUGCUCUUGAGAUCUUCACUCCCGUUCAUGGAUCCUUCAAGAGGUUUUUUACCCAUCAUGAUGAUGAAUGAAUGCUGGGUACCGGUUAUCAUGAUGCACUUUCAUUUCUAUGCAUGCAGUUUGUGCUUCAUUUGGACGCAUGGUAGGAAGGCAUUCCCACCUCUGUGAAGUAUGAUUAGGUCCAUUGCCAUUUUGAGGCUUCGGCUCAGUGGAAUCACAUCUCACCAUCCAUCCAAAUGGUGCAUUGAGCAAAUUUACUAGUUUGUCAUGUUGACCAAAGGACCUUAUUUACCCAGCUUCUCACCAUGCUUCAGUUUGUUUCUAGUUUUACUCUUGCAUCCUACAUAUAUAUGCUACAUUUAGCUGGACAAAAUGCUCUGGCAUUAGCAGCAAACCACCUCCUGAAGCUUCAUUGAGAACUCGUUGUGGAUGUGCUUUUAGGCCCAUCAGGCAUUGCUUGAGUUGACACAUGAAAUCAACAUGGAGCACAUAUUUGUAGUUGGAAACUUUUAAAAGUAGUUUGAGAUGGUUCUAGACUUUCUUGGAUGCUUCAUAUCUUAGAAACAAGGAUUUAUUAGGCUGGAAAAAAGAAGUCUUAACCACAAGGUUUUGAGGCUAUUAAGCUCUUUCAUGUUUGCCUGGUUCUCAUCUAUGUGGGCUCAUCAGUUAUCUGGAUGCCAACUACCAAGCAAAGUCACCCAGCCUAAAACCUCCGCGGCCAACCCCAGGUACUGAUGUCUCCAUCCGGUCCAUGCAACCAUGACAUCUCAACAUCAUUUCUUGCAAGCAGAUAGUUCAGGUUUCGUACUCGAAAAACCGUUUCCUAACCUUGUUUUUACAUUUCCAUUUUUUUCAACAAUGAUGAUUAUAUUCUCUUUAACUAGAUUUUAUUUCUUCACACUCUUUGCCAUUCAUCAAAUAGAAGAAUUAUGAUGAAUGCACUUGAGAGGUCCCUCUAUUAUAAGGAUCUGAUCAAAUUAGUCUCUCUAUUAUUAAAUAGAUCAAUUUAAUCUAUGUAAUAUUAAAAAGAAUCAAAUAAGGCCAAAUUGGAAGUUUUUAUGUUUUUGUAAAUAAAAUCUUUUGUUCGAAAUUGAGUUGGAAUUGAAAAAAAGUAAUAUUUAAGACA